AGUUAAAAAGCUCGUAGUUGGAUUUCGGAGUGGGCCAGUUGGUCCGCCGUAAGGUGUGUUACUGACUGGUUUGCUCUUCUUCGCAAAGACUGCGUGUGCUCUUGAGUGAGUGUGCGUAGGAUUUACGACGUUUACUUUGAAAAAAUUAGAGUGUCCAAAGCAGGCUAUUGCUUGAAUACAUGAGCAUGGAAUAAUGGAAUAGGACUUUGGUCCCAUUUUGUUGGUUUCUAGGGCCGAAGUAAUGAUUAAGAGGGACAAUUGGGGGCAUCCGUAUUUCGUUGUCAGAGGUGAAAUUCUUGGAUUUACGAAAGACGAACAACUGCGAAAGCACUUGCCAAGAGUGUUUUCAUUAAUCAAGAACGAAAGUUAGAGGAUCGAAGACGAUCAGAUACCGUCCUAGUUCUAACCAUAAACGAUGUCGACUAGGGAUCAGCGGGCGUUAUCGUACGACCCCGUUGGCACCUUACGGGAAACCAAAGUUUUUGGAUUCCGGGGGAAGUAUGGUUGCAAAAGCUGAAACUUAAAGGAACUGACGGAAGGGCACCACCAGGAGUGGAGCCUGUGGCUCAAUUUGACUCAACACGGGAAA
rnacentral:rRNA from 1 species